rnacentral:rRNA from 1 species
GACGAACGCUGGCGGCGUGCCUAAUACAUGCAAGUAGAACGCUGAAGGAGGAGCUUGCUUCUCUGGAUGAGUUGCGAACGGGUGAGUAACGCGUAGGUAACCUGCCUGGUAGCGGGGGAUAACUAUUGGAAACGAUAGCUAAUACCGCAUAAGAGUAGAUGUUGCAUGACAUUUGCUUAAAAGGUGCAAUUGCAUCACUACCAGAUGGACCUGCGUUGUAUUAGCUAGUUGGUGGGGUAACGGCUCACCAAGGCGACGAUACAUAGCCGACCUGAGAGGGUGAUCGGCCACACUGGGACUGAGACACGGCCCAGACUCCUACGGGAGGCAGCAGUAGGGAAUCUUCGGCAAUGGACGGAAGUCUGACCGAGCAACGCCGCGUGAGUGAAGAAGGUUUUCGGAUCGUAAAGCUCUGUUGUAAGAGAAGAACGAGUGUGAGAGUGGAAAGUUCACACUGUGACGGUAUCUUACCAGAAAGGGACGGCUAACUACGUGCCAGCAGCCGCGGUAAUACGUAGGUCCCGAGCGUUGUCCGGAUUUAUUGGGCGUAAAGCGAGCGCAGGCGGUUAGAUAAGUCUGAAGUUAAAGGCUGUGGCUUAACCAUAGUACGCUUUGGAAACUGUUUAACUUGAGUGCAAGAGGGGAGAGUGGAAUUCCAUGUGUAGCGGUGAAAUGCGUAGAUAUAUGGAGGAACACCGGUGGCGAAAGCGGCUCUCUGGCUUGUAACUGACGCUGAGGCUCGAAAGCGUGGGAGCAAACAGG